rnacentral:tRNA from 1 species
GAGGAUAUAGCUCAGUUGGUAGAGUGCUUGCCUUUUGCACAUAAGGCCCUGGGUUCUAAUCCCUAUCACCA